rnacentral:RNase_P_RNA from 1 species
UCAGGUAAUCGCUGCAACUUCGGUUGUAGAGGAAAGUCCAUGCUCGCACGGUUCUGAGAUGACCGUAGUGUUCGUGCUCGGCGAAAAAAUAAGCCGGGGCAUUGCGCAAUGCGCUUUGACGGCGGGGAUAAAUCCUACGUUUGCUUCUGCAAAUAUGGAUGAGGUUCCCUGAAAAGUGCCACAGUGACGUAGCUGUUUUGGAAACGAAACAGAUGGAACGCGGUAAACCCCAUGAGCGAGAAACCCAAAUUAUGGUAGGGGCACUCUUCUGAAGGAAUUUAACUGAUGAAGGGACAGACAAUGUCUGUAGAUAGAUGAUUACCGCCCUAAGUACGAGGCGCAAGCCGUUUGAGUACACGGGAACAAAACAUGGCUUAUC